UAUUCGCCUAUGGCAACAUAAAAUCCUAGAUGAUAUUCCAGUUUACAACAGGUAUUUUUCAUAAGAUGAAUACUAGAUACUGAUUAUUUGUUGAUUUGAGUAUGUAGAAAAUAUUAAUAAAGUGUAUUUAUAUUCCUAUAUAAGGGAAUUGUCUGGUUAUCUUGUUCCCCUAUUCAUGUCCACAUGGGAAGACGAAAGACCACAUUUGCCAUUUUUAAAGGAUGGAUAUGAACUCAGAAAACUAAUUUUGGGCCAAGUGCUAACAUUCAAGGAUAAUGAAUGUGAAGAUAACAUGCCUGCUGGUGUACUGGAAUUCAUCAAUUGUAUUAGGAAAAUCCAAAGUAAAACUGGGAGCUCAAUCAGUGGAAGGUGAUUUGCCAGAGAGAUUUCUUGCAGCCAACGGUUAAUAGGGAAUGAGCAGGGAGACAAUGAGCAUGUAGAGCUGGAUUUUUUUACCUUUGAGAAAUUAAUACUGGAUUUUGGUUUGUACUUAAAAUAUCACUUAUAUAUAUGUAGUAAACUUUUGGAGCUUGCCAUGAUAUACAUUUUUUAGGACUGCCAAUUAUAAGAGAUGAUGGAUUGCUUUCAAA